UUAGUUCCAGAAGUUCUUGUUCGUUUGACAGCGUGCUUACUUUCACAGAGCUUCUCAAAGAUAUUUUUGUUCGUAUAGUUUCGAAUCUCAUCUCUUUGCCAUGGAUUUGAACUGCAAAGUUUUGAAGUUUAUGAUGAUGAAAACUCCGGCUGAUUCCAUUCCUCCGUUGAAAAUCGCCGGCGAUCAAAACAACGUCGUUUCACCGGUUUUCGAUGGAAACAAACUGAAAAUUCAGGUUCCUGUUCCGAGGAAAAUCGUUGGCGGCGAGGACGAUGUGGUAGAUAAGAAGAAAGUGAAAAUUGAGGUUCCUAUUCCGAGGGAAUUGUUAUUUCCAUCCGCUGAGACGGCGUCGUGUACUGAUCAUGCGCAGUUAUUGGUUCAGAACUAUGGGAAUUUCAAAAAGAGUGGGAAGCCGGUGAGGUUUAUGUUCUAUAAGGAUGGAUCGUGGGUGAAUUUCGAGAAAAACGUGAUGGAUGUGAUGGUAUCAGGUUUCGUGAGUGGCAAGCCUAUGAUUGAUGUGGAAAUGGAAGGGUUAAAAUGUCUUUUUGAUUUUUAUCGCAUGUUAGAGAUUGACUUGGACACUGGGAAAGAGCGCUCUAUUUCUUGGAUUGAUGUUAAUGGUAAGUGCUUUUUCCCUAAAGUCUUCAUUGAUUCCAGUGAGAAUUCAGAUGAUAAAAAUCAGGAAAUUGAAGCUUCGAAUGUAAAUGAAAAAUUUUCCUCUGAGAAUCCUAAGAUUGAAAUUGAGAUAAGAAUCUCAGAUGACAACUCAGAUAAAGAAGUUAACAAUUCAGGAGAAGAGUUGAAGUUAGGAAAGAGAAAGAGGGGAAGUGAGGAGAAUGAAGUGGAGGAGAAGGGAGAACGGAGUUCGUCCAAUGCGAAAGAGCGGCGUGUUAUUGCUGCUACUGAAUUGCAUUCACCAAGGUGGCCAAAGGCAAGGUCAUUGAGGGAAGAGGAAAAAGGCUAUCAGAUGGUGAAGGGUUUACUGUUGUCGGGUUUGAGGACUGUGGACCCUGGUGUUACAGUCACUUCGAUUCAUCAGUGUGUUAGAACUGGCCCAUUGGAAAAGGCUCGUCUUGAGGUUUUCCAAACAAAUAUGGAGAUCUUAAAGAGAGCUAGAGGGGGGAACCUUAAUGUUGUAUAUGCUUGGUACGGGACAUCAGCCAAGAACGUGGAGAUCAUUCUGCGUCAUGGCUUUGGAAUGCCUAGCGUGGUACAUGGUUCUAAUGCUCAUGGCGUUGGUGUGUACUUGUCGCCCUUACGCCAACCUCAAAAUAGUGCAAUGAUGUCUGAGGUAGAUGAAUAUGGUGAAAAGCAUAUUGUGCUGUGUCGAGUUAUAUUGGGAAAGCUUGAGAAGGUUGAGUUAGGAUCUCAACAGCGGUAUCCUUCUAGUGUGGAUUUUGAUACUGGGGUUGAUGAUUUGACAAACCCGAAGUGGUAUGUGGUGUGGUCUGCAAAUAUGAACACCCACAUUCUUCCCGAAUGCAUAGUUAGCUACAAAUCUGGACGUCAUAUGUCAGGUCAAGCAAAUGGUGCUUCAUCCAUGAAGUGGGCUCCUCAUGCUUCAAAUGCAAUGGGUACAUUAAUAUCCAAGCUAAGUACUUUGCUUCCACCUCUGAAAGUGCAGGAGUUGCUAAGUUUGUAUGGCUCCUACCGGGAAGGCAAAUUAGGGAAAGAAGUUUUCAUGAGACAGUUACGAUCUGUUGUUGGAGAUGAGUUGUUGCGUUCGACUAUUCUGGAAAUUCGUGGCUGAGAUGAGUAUCUUGCCUCUCCGUGUGCAUUGGUGUUACUGGCGUUCCUUUAGGCCAACGGUCCUCUUGGACUUGGUGCUUCAUGUAAUGGUGCUCAUGGUACCAGCAAUUGUUUUUCUGUUUGGGCUAAGGUUUUUGUGGACCUAAGUUCUUCACGUACUAAGGUACUCCGGUAUAAGCACCUGACAGUCGAGUGUAUGUAUGGGGCGUUCUUUUGCAAACAAUAUCAGUUACAAAGUUGGCUCUCAGCCUGUGAAGGAGAUUUAUCCAGAUCUAUUCAACCUCACAAGCACCUGAUGCAACUAUUCACGAGACUUGGGGGCAGCAGGGUUGGAAUAUAAACUUCAGAAGAUUACUAAAUGACUGGGGAGACUAAUAGGAUUGCUAAGCUUUUCCAGGUACUAGAACAAUUUAUUCAAGGAACGACAGCUAAUGAAGAUAGAUUAGAUUGGAAGCAUAGAAGAUGUAAAUCAUUUACUAGACUUUGUUGGAUCCUUGUAAGAAUAUCAAGCCACUUUUGGGUUUUGCCUUUUUUGAAUUUUAAAUAUGGUUCCCAGCAGUGUCUUUGUGCUGCAGAUAGCAAUCAUAGAACCCUUGCAAAUCAAGGUGCUCUUUUUAUUAUUAUCUCGAGUCUGGGCAGUUCAUUUUUUUUGAAAUUACAUUUUGAUAGGAUGCUGUAAGCUUGGAUGCCGUUGUUUAGUCAUUAUCUACAAGGAAUGAUAUUUUGGAUGAA